AUUCCUUCUUAUCCUGCACUCAGUUUGUUGAUUGGCUGUGGAGCCUGGAAAUGGAGGAUAAAUGAUAUUGAAGGAGUGCUAUUACUUGACGUCUUCUGAGGAUGUGGAGAUAGUGUGAAUUUGAACAAUU
rnacentral:snoRNA from 1 species